UACAGAGACCUCAAGCGUUAUCCGGAUUUAUUGGGCGUAAAGCGUCCGCAGGUGGUUCGUUAAGUCAUUGGUCAAAUCCCGGGGCUCAACCUCGGAACUGCCGGUGAAACUGGCGAACUUGAGGCCGGAAGAGGCAAGCGGAAUUACAGGUGUAGCGGUAAAAUGCGUUUAUAUCUGUAAGAACACCAAAGGCGAAAGCAGCUUGCUGGAACGGUCCUGACACUCAUGGACGAAAGCGUGGGGAGCGAAAAGG
rnacentral:rRNA from 1 species